rnacentral:hammerhead_ribozyme from 1 species
AUCCAGCUAGUGACGAGUCCUAAAUUGGACGAAAUGCACGUCCUGUAU